UGGGGAAUCUUGCGCAAUGGCCGAAAGGCUGACGCAGCGACGCCGCGUGUGGGAGGACGCCCUUCGGGGUGUAAACCACUGUUGCCCGGGACGAACAUCCCUUUUCGAGGGGACUGACGGUACCGGGUGAGGAAGCACCGGCUAACUCCGUGCCAGCAGCCGCGGUAAUACGGAGGGUGCGAGCGUUGUCCGGAAUCACUGGGCGUAAAGGGCGCGUAGGUGGCGCGGCAAGUCAGCGGUGAAAGCCCGAGGCUCAACUUCGGGUCGGCCGAUGAUACUGCUGCGCUUGAGCACUGUAGAGGCAGGUGGAAUUCCGGGUGUAGCGGUGGAAUGCGUAGAGAUCCGGAAGAACACCGGUGGCGAAGGCGGCCUGCUGGGCAGUUGCUGACACUGAUGCGCGACAGCGUGGGGAGCAAACAGGAUUAGAUACCCCCGUAGUCC
rnacentral:rRNA from 1 species